UAUGAAGGGUGCAAGCGUUACUCGGAAUUACUGGGCGUAAAGCGCACGUAGGCGGAUUUGUAAGUCAGGGGUGAAAUCCCGAGGCUCAACCUCGGAACUGCCUUUGAUACUGCGAAUCUCGAGUCCGGAAGAGGUGAGUGGAAUUCCUAGUGUAGAGGUGAAAUUCGUAGAUAUUAGGAAGAACACCAGUGGCGAAGGCGGCUCACUGGUCCGGUACUGACGCUGAGGUGCGAAAGCGUGAGGAGCAAACAGG
rnacentral:rRNA from 1 species